rnacentral:rRNA from 1 species
UUUAAAUGUAAGAGGGGAGUUAGACAAGGAGACCCAAUGCCACCUCUACUUUUUGUGCUUGCUGCUGACCUACUUCAGUCUGUAGUGAAUGAUAUGUGCAGUAAAGGAAUUUUGACUCUCCCAAUCCCUUCUCACAGCCAGGAUUUUCCCAUAGUGCAGUAUGCUGAUGAUACAAUAAUUGUGUUGCCUGCUAUUGACCAUCAGAUGCUUGCUCUUAAAGACAUGCUUGAUGUUUUUGCUGAUACAACAGGGUUAUCUGUGAAUUUUGCAAAAUCGCUUAUGGUGCCUAUGAACAUGUCAGCUGAUGUAGCUAAUAGAUUGGCCUCAAUUCUAGGAUGCAAUGUGGGAGUCAUGCCUUUUACUUAUUUGGGUCUGCCCAUGGGGAUUACCAGGCCCUCAAUUCAAGAUCUCAUGCCUCUUGUGCAUAGGAUUGAAAGGAGAUUAUCUGCCACUUCUUGCUUUCUGAACCAAGGAAGUAGGUUACAACUGCUUCAGUCUGUUUUAACUUCAAUGCCC